GACGAACGUUGGCGGCGUGCUUAACACAUGCAAGUCGAACGGAAAGGCCCUGCUUUUGUGGGGUGCUCGAGUGGCGAACGGGUGAGUAACACGUGAGUAACCUGCCCUUGACUUUGGGAUAACUUCAGGAAACUGGGGCUAAUACCGGAUAGGAGCUCCUGCUGCAUGGUGGGGGUUGGAAAGUUUCGGCGGUUGGGGAUGGACUCGCGGCUUAUCAGCUUGUUAGUGGGGUAGUGGCUUACCAAGGCUUUGACGGGUAGCCGGCCUGAGAGGGUGACCGGCCACAUUGGGACUGAGAUACGGCCCAGACUCCUACGGGAGGCAGCAGUGGGGAAUAUUGCACAAUGGGCGGAAGCCUGAUGCAGCAACGCCGCGUGCGGGAUGACGGCCUUCGGGUUGUAAACCGCUUUCGCCUGUGACGAAGCGUGAGUGACGGUAAUGGGUAAAGAAGCACCGGCUAACUACGUGCCAGCAGCCGCGGUGAUACGUAGGGUGCGAGCGUUGUCCGGAUUUAUUGGGCGUAAAGGGCUCGUAGGUGGUUGAUCGCGUCGGAAGUGUAAUCUUGGGGCUUAACCCUGAGCGUGCUUUCGAUACGGGUUGACUUGAGGAAGGUAGGGGAGAAUGGAAUUCCUGGUGGAGCGGUGGAAUGCGCAGAUAUCAGGAGGAACACCAGUGGCGAAGGCGGUUCUCUGGGCCUUUCCUGACGCUGAGGAGCGAAAGCGUGGGGAGCGAACAGGCUUAGAUACCCUGGUAGUCCACGCUGUAAACGGUGGGUACUAGGUGUGGGGUCCAUUCCACGGGUUCCGUGCCGUAGCUAACGCUUUAAGUACCCCGCCUGGGGAGUACGGCCGCAAGGCUAAAACUCAAAGGAAUUGACGGGGCCCCGCACAAGCGGCGGAGCAUGCGGAUUAAUUCGAUGCAACGCGUAGAACCUUACCUGGGUUUGACAUGGAUCGGGAGUGCUCAGAGAUGGGUGUGCCUCUUUUGGGGUCGGUUCACAGGUGGUGCAUGGCUGUCGUCAGCUCGUGUCGUGAGAUGUUGGGUUAAGUCCCGCAACGAGCGCAACCCUUGUUCACUGUUGCCAGCACGUUAUGGUGGGGACUCAGUGGAGACCGCCGGGGUCAACUCGGAGGAAGGUGGGGAUGACGUCAAGUCAUCAUGCCCCUUAUGUCCAGGGCUUCACGCAUGCUACAAUGGCUGGUACAGAGAGUGGCGAGCCUGUGAGGGUGAGCGAAUCUCGGAAAGCCGGUCUCAGUUCGGAUUGGGGUCUGCAACUCGACCUCAUGAAGUCGGAGUCGCUAGUAAUCGCAGAUCAGCAACGCUGCGGUGAAUACGUUCCCGGGGCU
rnacentral:rRNA from 1 species